UACGGAAGGCAGCAGGGGGAAUAUUGCACAAUGGGCGAAAGCCUGAUGCAGCUAUGCCGCGUGUAUGAAGAAGGCCUUAGGGUUGUAAAGUACUUUCAUCGGGGAGGAAAAAACAAAACUAAUAAUUUUAUUUCUUGACGUUACCCGAAAAAGAAGCACCGGCUAACUCCGUGCCAGCAGCCGCGGUAAUACGGAGGGUGCUAGCGUUAAUCAGAAUUACUGGGCGUAAAGAGCACGUAGGUGGUUUUUUUAAAGUCAGAUGUGAAAUCCCUGGGCUUAACCUAGGAACUGCAUUUUGAAACUGAAAUACUAGAGUAUCGUAGAGGGAGGUAGAAUUCUAGGUGUAGCGGUGAAAUGCGUAGAUAUCUGGAGGAAUACCUGUGGCGAAAGCGGCCUCCUAAACGAAUACUGACACUGAGGGUGCGAAAGCGUGGGGAGCAAACAGGGAUUAGAUACC
rnacentral:rRNA from 1 species